rnacentral:rRNA from 1 species
UGAUGUGACCAUACCAACAAUAAUGCGAUGGAUCACAUCAGGACUUGGAAGCUAAGUGUUCAUGGACGAGCGUAGUACUAGGAUGUGUGACUUCUUGGAGAUUCCUCGUGUUGCAUCUU